rnacentral:tRNA from 1 species
UAGGCAGAAGCCCUCUGGUUUGGGCGGCUAGCUGUAAAUUAGUUUGAUUACGGAUCGAGGCCCGUCUGUCUAG